rnacentral:pre_miRNA from 1 species
UGUAGAUGAUAAUGAUGAUGAUGAUGAUGACGACGAUGAUGAUGAUGAUAAUUAUCAUCGUUGUUAUCGGCAUUAUAUAAAACAACAACA